CCGUCCCCGUCCCCGUCCCCGUCCCCGUCCCGCCCUGUGCCCCCGCACCGUGCCGGGCUGGCGGCACACGGGGCUGCCACUCCUCUCUGCUCCGGCCGCGUGUUCCAUGUGUGUGCCAGCCCGCAGUUCCCCGUUCCGCCCCGACGUCGGCGGCGCCGUGCCUUGUUUGCUCCUGAGCUGACUUUGGAAGAUGUCUGUGUUCUGCACUGUGAAAGCUGAGUCCAGACAGCUUUUAAAGGAAGAUUCUAGCAGACAACAAAUAAGAUACUGGAACCUGAAUGAAUACAUAGAAUUUUUGAAACAAGAAGUGUGAAACAAGUCCUUCUACUACUCAGGCCUCUGCCUGUGCGACAUGAUGAUCACAUAGGAAGAAGGAGGCAAAAUGAAGUAGCACACAGGAUUCAAACAGCCAUUAUACAGAUUCCAAAGUCACCAUCAAGACCCAUCAUAAAAGCUACUGAAGCCAAAAAAUUCUUAAUGAAGAAAAGAAAAGCAGAGUGGGCAGCGUGGUAUGUUUGUCAGACACAAAGGAUUUGUAGGGGGAAAUAAGAAUAUUGUAAUAAUAGAUUAG
rnacentral:lncRNA from 1 species